CAUGGCCAUAUCACCCUGAAUGCACGUAAUCUGGUCUCAGAAGCUAAACAAGGUCGGGCCUGGUUAGUACUUGAAUGGGAGACAUAUCUUCAAAAGAGACUGCUCAGAGGC
rnacentral:rRNA from 1 species